rnacentral:rRNA from 1 species
AUACCGGCUGCUCGAGUGAUGGCCACUAUUACUGGGUUUAAAGCGUCCGUAGCUUGACUGUUAGGUCUCUUGGGAAAUCUUCACGCUCAACGUGAAGGCGUCUAAGAGAUACCGGCAGUCUUGGAACUGGGAGAGGUAAACCGUACUUCGGGGGUAGGAGUGAAAUCUUGUAAUCCUCGAGGGACGACCUAUGGCGAAGGCAGUUUACCAGAACAGCUUCGACAGUGAGGGACGAAAGCUGGGGGAGCAAACGGGAUUAGAUACCCCGGUAGUCCCAGCCGUAAACAAUGUGCGUUAGGUGUGUCGGUAACCACGUGUUACUGAUGCGCCGAAGAGAAAUCGUGAAACGCACCACCUGGGAAGUACGGUCGCAAGGCUGAAACUUAAAGGAAUUGGCGGGGGAGCACCACAACAGGUGGAGCCUGCGGUUUAAUUGGAUUCAACGCCGGACAUCUCACCGGAUAAGACAGCUGAAUGAUUGUCAAUCUGAAGGUUUUACAUGACUAGCUGAGAGGAGGUGCAUGGCCGUCGUCAGUUCGUACUGUGAAGCAUCCUGUUAAGUCAGGCAACGAGCGAGACCCACGCCGACAAUUGCCAGCAGCAUCUCCGGAUGGCUGGGGACAUUGUCGGGACCGCCUCUGCUAAAGAGGAGGAAGGAAUGGGCAACGGUAGGUCAGCAUGCCCCGAAUUAUCCGGGCUACACGCGGGCUACAAUGGACGGGACAAUGGGUAACAACACCGAAAGGUGCAGUCAAUCUCCUAACCCCGUCCUUAGUUAGGAUUGCGGGUUGCAACUCACCCGCAUGAAUCUGGAAUCUGUAGUAAUCGCGUUUCACUAUAGCGCGGUGAAUACGUCCCUGCUCCUUGCACACACCGCCCGUCAANNCAUCCUAGUGGGGUUUGGAUGAGUCCCUGGUCUU